GGGGCCCAUAUUCAGAGACUAACUCUGCCAGCUCUGUGGUGAGAGGGAGCUGCCACCCCUUGAUCUGUUCAUCUGUAAUGAGGGAGUCUUACAAGCUUCACUCACCACAGUGAACUGUUGUAAGAGUUAAAGGGAGGUAUCUACAAAGCAUGCUGGGAAAUGAAAAGGCCUUUCUGUAGAACAAAGCAACAUUUUCAAGAUUCAUGAUUUAAGCCACAUUUCACUCCUGGGCAAAUGAAAUGACUAGCUGAUGGGAGCAUGGAGGAGGAGGAGGAGGAGGUAACCAGAAGAGGGAGCACUUACAUCAACUCAUACUCAUGCUCCUUGGCUCACAGAAGGAACAGACCAACAGAUUCACGUGCUGAACACUUGGGAUGAAGCCACAAAUCCUGUAUGUUUCUCUAUUUCAUAGAAGAAGAAGGUUUUCAAGUACAAAGAGGCUUGCUGUCAAAGCAAUACAACCAGCUAGCUGACUGUUCAUUCUGCCAACCUGCCUUCCUUGCCGUGAUAUAAUAAAUCCUCAUGAAUUGCAAACUAGAAUAAACCCUUCAUUCCUUCUUU
rnacentral:lncRNA from 1 species